UUUUGAUCCUGGCUCAGGAUGAACGCUAGCUACAAGGCUUAACACAUGCAAGUCGAGGGGAAACGAUAUUGGAAGCUUGCUUCCGAUAGGCGUCGACCGGCGCACGGGUGAGUAACACGUAUCCAACCUGCCGAUGACUCGGGGAUAGCCUUUCGAAAGAAAGAUUAAUACCCGAUGGCAUAGUUCUUCCGCAUGGUAGAACUAUUAAAGAAUUUCGGUCAUCGAUGGGGAUGCGUUCCAUUAGGUUGUUGGCGGGUAACGGCCCACCAAGCCUUCGAUGGAUAGGGGUUCUGAGAGGAAGGUCCCCCACAUUGGAACUGAGACACGGUCCAAACUCCUACGGGAGGCAGCAGUGAGGAAUAUUGGUCAAUGGACGAGAGUCUGAACCAGCCAAGUAGCGUGAAGGAUGACUGCCCUAUGGGUUGUAAACUUCUUUUAUACGGGAAUAAAGUGAGGCACUGUGUGCCUUUUUGUAUGUACCGUAUGAAUAAGGAUCGGCUAACUCCGUG
rnacentral:rRNA from 1 species